rnacentral:rRNA from 1 species
GACGGAAGGUGCAAGCGUUGCUCGGAAUCACUGGGCGUAAAGGGUGCGUAGGCGGCCGUGCAAGUCUGGCGUGAAAGCCCCGGGCUCAGCCCGGGAAGUGCGCUCGAAACUGCGCGGCUCGAGUGCCGGAGGGGAGAGUGGAAUUCCCGGUGUAGAGGUGAAAUUCGUAGAUAUCGGGAGGAACACCAGUGGCGAAGGCGGCGAUCUGGGAAGAUACUGACGCUGAGGUGCGAAAGCGUGGGGAGCAAACAGG